CCUACGGGUGGCAGCAGUGAGGAAUAUUGGUCAAUGGACGCAAGUCUGAACCAGCCAAGUAGCGUGCAGGAUGACGGCCCUCCGGGUUGUAAACUGCUUUUAGUUGGGAAUAAAAGGGGGCUCGUGAGCACCGUAUUGUAUGUAACAUCAGAAAAAGGACCGGCUAAUUCCGUGCCAGCAGCCGCGGUAAUACGGAAGGUCCGGGCGUUAUCCGGAUGGAUGGGGUUUAAAGGGAGCGGAGGCCGGCUUUUAAGUCAGCUGUGAAAGGCCGCGGCUCAACCGUGGAAUUGCAGUUGAAACUGUAGGCCUUGAGUGCACACAGGGAUGCCGGAAUUCCUAGUGUAGCGGUGAAAUGCGUAGAUAUUAGGAGGAACCCCGGUGGCGAAGGCGGCUUACUGGACCUUAACUGACGUUGAGGCUCGAAAGCGUGGGGAGCAAACAGGAUUAGAUACCCUUGUAGUC
rnacentral:rRNA from 1 species